UACGUAGGCAGCAAGCGUUGUUCGGAAUUACUGGGCGUAAAGAGCGCGCAGGCGGUCGAUCAAGUCGAGUGUGAAAGCCCCCGGCUCAACUGGGGAGGGUCAUUCGAUACUGAUCGACUCGAAGGCAAGAGAGGGUAGUGGAAUUCCCGGUGUAGUGGUGAAAUGCGUAGAUAUCGGGAGGAACACCAGUGGCGAAGGCGACUACCUGGCCUGUUCUUGACGCUGAGGCGCGAAAGCUAGGGGAGCAAACGGG
rnacentral:rRNA from 1 species